rnacentral:rRNA from 1 species
CACGUAGGGUGCGAGCGUUGUCCGGAAUUAUUGGGCGUAAAGGAGCUCGUAGGCGGUGUGUCGCGUCGGCCGUGAAAACCUGCAGCUUAACUGUGGGCUUGCGGUCGAUACGGGCAUCACUUGGAGUUCGGCAGGGGAGACUGGAAUUCCUGGUGGUAGCGGUGAAAUGCGCAGAGUAUCAAGGAGGAACACCGGUGGCGAAGGCGGGUCUCUGGGCUGACACGUGACGCUCAUGCACGAAAGCGUGGGGAGCAAACAGG